rnacentral:lncRNA from 1 species
CUGCCACCUCAGUGUUCUUGGACUACUUAGCCCCACUCCCCGGGGCUGGGCUGGACUAAAAUCAAUAUGUUCCUGCCCUGUGAGACCUAGAAAGCCGAUGAGUUUUUCCUGACCACUGCCCUCUGUGGGCCUUGUCAGCUUGUACCAAUCCCUGAGGCACUUACUCAGCCUUUUGGCACAAGUCAGAACUACAUUUGUAAUUGCCUAUUGAUUUUAUUCUUGGAGUUUGUAACAGAAGAAUCGGAGUGUAUCCAAAGCAGCACCAGGUGGGGCAGAGGACGUUGGCUCCCACACUUGCGGACACGCCAUUUCAAAAGGGCAGGCGGUUGAUGAUCUCUUGGCUGCUUCAGAGCUCUCAGGCUUGUUGGCUUCACUUCAACUCCAGGGAGGACCAGAGAGGCAAAUAAUAAAGGCAACAAGGACAUGGGACACAAAGAAGUUUCUUUUAUGUAUAUUUUCCAUAUGGAUAGCAAUGUUUCCCUAGAGUAGCCCAGACACAUCAGAAAAAUAAAAAGUCAGUCCAAUGAGAAAGCA